rnacentral:tRNA from 1 species
GCCGGCGUAGCUCAAUUGGCAGAGCAACUGACUUGUAAUCAGUAGGUUGCGGGUUCGAGUCCCAUCGCCGGCU